AUGAACGCUGGCGGCGUGCCUAAUACAUGCAAGUCGAGCGCACAGACGUGGAGCUUUCUCCUCUGACGUUAUCGGCGGACCGGUGCGUAACACUUUGAUAACCUACCUAUAAUUCUGGGAUUACUUCGGGAAACCGUAGCUAAUACCGGUUAAUUUAUUUAACCUCAUGUUUCAAUAGUGUAAUUCGGUUUUUCUGUCACUUAUAGAUGGAUCCGCGCCGCAUUAGCUAGUUGGUAAGGUAACGGCAUACCAAGGCGACGAUGCGUAGCCGACCUGAGAGGGUGAUCGGCCACACUGGAACUGAGACACGGUCCAGACGCCUACGGGAGGCAGCAGUAGGGAAUCGUGCGCAAUGGGCGAAAGCAUGACGGAGCAACGCCGCGUGAGUGAUGAAGGUCUACGGAUCGUAAAACUCUGUUAUUAGGGAAGAAAAAAAGUGUAAGUAAAUAUGCACGUAUUGACGGUACCUAAUAAGAAAGCCACGGCUAACUACGUG
rnacentral:rRNA from 1 species